CGGAGCCGGAGCAGCCCACCCUUCUGCUGCUAGGGCUGCUGCUGGCAGAGGCGGGAGAGCUCUUCUCUUUUAACUUUCCUCAGAGCCCGGUAGCAGUGCAGAGAGCUGCAUCUCCAGCCUGCCUCGUCUCGGGUGAAGGCCGUGCAGGCUCACGGCAGGCCAAGGCGCAGCCCGAUCUGGUGUUAAUCCACGCAGAAUUGAGAUAAACCAAGAGAAGACGAAUGGGAGUACUUAAAACUCAUCCUCAGUUCAUUAAAUAAAGG
rnacentral:lncRNA from 1 species